GACGAACGCUGGCGGCGUGCUUAACACAUGCAAGUCGAACGGGCCGCUACUGUGUUUUUUCAUGGUGGUUGGUUAGUGGCGAACGGGUGAGUAACACGUGAGUAACCUGCCCUGGACUGUGGGAUAACAUUCUGAAAGGGAUGCUAAUACUGUAUAUUUUUGCUCUUGCCGCAUGGUGGGGGUGGGAAAGGUUUUUUCUGGUUUGGGAUGGGCUCGCGGCUUAUCAGCUUGUUGGUGGGGUGAUGGCUUACCAAGGCUUUGACGGGUAGCCGGCCUGAGAGGGUGGUCGGUCACACUGGGACUGAGAUACGGCCCAGACUCCUGCGGGAGGCAGCAGUGGGGAAUAUUGCACAAUGGACGCAAGUCUGAUGCAGCGACGCCGUGUGGGGGAUGACGGCCUUCGGGUUGUAAACCUCUUUCGCUCAUGAUAAAGGUGCCAUUUUGUUGGUGUUGAUGGUAGUGGGUAAAGAAGCGCCGGCUAACUACGUGCCAGCAGCCGCGGUAAUACGUAGGGCGCGAGCGUUGUCCGGAAUUAUUGGGCGUAAAGAGCUCGUAGGUGGCUGGUCGCGUCUGUCGUGAAAACUGGGGGCUUAACUUCUAGCUUGCGGUGGGUACGGGCUGGCUUGAGAGCAGUAGGGGAGACUGGAAUUCCUGGUGUAGUGGUGGAAUGCGCAGAUAUCAGGAGGAAUACCGGUGGCGAAGGCGGGUCUCUGGGCUGUUUCUGACGCUGAGGAGCGAAAGCAUGGGGAGCGAACAGGAUUAGAUACCCUGGUAGUCCAUGCUGUAAACGGUGGGCACUAGGUGUGGGGGGGAUUUGUUUUUUUUCCGCGCCGUAGCUAACGCAUUAAGUGCCCCGCCUGG
rnacentral:rRNA from 1 species